CACGCACACACACACACACACACACCAACAAACAAACACUGCCUUCCACUUGUAUUAACAAACCUGUCUAGUAAAUGUCAUCGUUGUCUUACUGUACAUAUUCUACCAUCAAGAGUAUUGAUAGUGAGUAUGUCUUGGUUUUACUUUAUUCAACAACUUCUUAUGGGCAGAAUGGAGUAUGGAGAAGAACGCAGGGGUGCAGAGGGGAGGGGAGGGGAAAGGAGGGCUGCCCUCCCCCGUGGUCACAUAUACAUCCUGGAUUAAUGGCCUUUCACUGGCCAGAUGUUCUUCUGGGGAUGGAGGAGGUGGGAGGAGGAGCCCACCCCUCUUCAGACCUGAGCCCCAGCCCCAGCCUCUGCCUCCCCUCCUCGCCAGAGACUUCAGCUAUUUCCUCCCCCACUUUUUCUUUUUUUUUCUCCUCCGAGCAGCCAGGCAAAGGGCUGUAACAAAUACUAAUGCUAUGUCUGUAUGGAAAGGACAACUGCAUUCUUUAGAGACAACUCCCCAACAGGACAAAUCCAUCCAGAGGUUUGCAGAUGCUGACAGCUGUGCUACAUUAGUGCAGGACACAGAGAUUUGCAUUCGGGCAACAGAACAACUCUGAGAUGGACGAAAUGAUUUAAAAACACAUUGGAUUUUUUUUUUUUUUUUUUUUUUAAAGGAAACGCCUGCCAUUCUUACCUCUCCACAUAUCUCCUUCGCCUAUGUAUGACCAUCACUGUUUGAGUGACUACAGGUGAAAAGUAAUGAAGGCAUGCUAGUCAGCUUACUGACAAACUGGCAAAUCUUGAUAGGGCAAGAUAUUAAAACAAGGGAACUGGGACUGUGAAAUGGGACUGAUGUUAGCUAGCUAGUAGGGUGAAAGUUGGGCUAGUGAAAGCUAGCUUUCCAAUUAGCAACACCAGCUGAGCAUGGAAACAUCAAAUUGUGUCACUUGUCAUCCAUUUUUCUUUGAGAUCUACCAUUCGCUGGUCUACUAACAAAGUCACACUUCUCCUUUUCUGACCCUAUGAAGAAUCCACAAGAUAUUUCACUGGAAUGUCAAUGACAAUGUAUUC
ensembl:lncRNA